ACGUAGGGGGCAAGCGUUAUCCGGAAUUACUGGGUGUAAAGGGAGCGUAGGCGGCAUGGUAAGUAAGAUGUGAAAGCCCGAGGCUUAACCUCGAGGAUUGCAUUUUAAACUAUCAAGCUAGAGUACAGGAGAGGAAAGCGGAAUUCCUAGUGUAGCGGUGAAAUGCGUAGAUAUUAGGAAGAACACCAGUGGCGAAGGCGGCUUUCUGGACUGAAACUGACGCUGAGGCUCGAAAGCGUGGGGAGCGAACAG
rnacentral:rRNA from 1 species